UGCGGUGCAAGACGGGCUCGGGUUCGGUGCGCCCAAAUGUGUUGGCUUAUGAAGACUGGGUCGAUAAACCGCUGCGUAAAGUGUGCGUCUUUGAGCGCUCGGACAGCUCAAAAAACCCCGAUAAACCCCAUAGAGCAGCGAAACAGUUCACCGACAGACGCAACCAAACCCGUUGGCUCCCGAUGAGGGUGGAGAGGGCAGAGCUGGCGAAACUGAUUGGUUUUCGAUUUUAACGAAGAUCCGCCUUAUUUGACUCAGAACCGACUCGGCUUUUUCCCAGGAGAGAAAAGCAAGUUUGUGUGCGAGGACGCUGUCACCAGUGGUGGGGGGACUGACUGGGUGGACACUGGUGCACGGAGGGGGUGGUGUUUGUUUGGAGGGGGGGUAACAAUCUGCGCGAACCUGGCCCUUUAAAUUACCUCCACAAUCACAGUAGACGAGACAAGCAAAGUUGCCUGCAGGUCCCUGAGCCAGCUUCAGUCUCUAGCCUGUCCAUCAUCCAGAAUUUUCUUCUUUUAUUCGUCACAAUA